rnacentral:tRNA from 1 species
GUGGUUCAAUGGUAGAAUGCUCGCCUGCCACGCGGGCGGCCCAGGUUCGAUUCUCGGCA